GACGAACGCUGGCGGCGGGCUUAACACAUGCAAGUCGAACGGAAAGGCCCUGCUUUUGUGGGGUGCUCGAGUGGCGAACGGGUGAGUAACACGUGAGUAACCUGCCCUUGACUUUGGGAUAACUUCAGGAAACUGGGGCUAAUACCGUAUAGGAGCUCCUGCUGCAUGGUGGGGGUUGGAAAGUUUCGGCGGUUGGGGAUGGACUCGCGGCUUAUCAGCUUGUUGGUGGGGUAGGGGCUUACCAAGGCAUUGACGGGUAGCCGGCCUGAGAGGGUGACCGGCCACACUGGGACUGAGAUAAGGCACAGACUGCUACGGGAGGAAGAAGUGGGGAAUAUUGCACAAUGGGCGGAAGCCUGAUGCAGCAACGCCGCGUGCGGGAUGACGGCCUUCGGGUUGUAAACCGCUUUCGCCUGUGACGAAGCGUGAGUGAAGGUAAUGAGUAAAGAAGCACCGGCUAACUACGUG
rnacentral:rRNA from 1 species